GGUUCAUUCAAAUUUCUGCCCUAUCAACUUUCGAUGGUAAGGUAUUGGCUUACCAUGGUUUCAACGGGUAACGGGAAUUAGGGUUCGAUUCCGGAGAGGGAGCCUGAGAAACGGCUACCACAUCCAAGGAAGGCAGCAGGCGCGCAAAUUACCCAAUCCCGACCGGGGAGGUAGUGACAAUAAAUACUAAUACAGGGCUCUUUUGGGUCUUGUAAUUGGAAUGAGUACAAUUUAAACCCCUUAACGAGGAACAAUUGGAGGGCAAGUCUGGUGCCAGCAGCCGCGGUAAUUCCAGCUCCAAUAGCGUAUAUUAAAGUUGUUGCAGUUAAAAAGCUCGUAGUUG
rnacentral:rRNA from 1 species